CCUACGGGUGGCAGCAGUGAGGAAUAUUGGACAAUGGGCGCGAGCCUGAACCAGCCAAGUCGCGUGAAGGAAGAAGGUCCUUAGUAUUGUAAACUUCUUUUGUCGGGGAACAAAGGCGGAGACGCGUCUCCGGAUGAGUGUACCCGACGAAAAAGCAUCGGCUAACUCCGGGCCAGCAGCCGCGGUAAUACGGAGGAUGCGAGCGUUAUCCGGAUUUAUUGGGUUUAAAGGGUGCGUCGGCGGUCGGAUGAGUUAGAUGUGAAAUCCCGGGGCUGAACUUCGGAAUUGCCUCUGAUACUGGUCAGCUAGAGAGUAGUUGCGGUAGGCAGAAUGUAUGGUGUAGCGGUGAAAUGCUUAGAGAUCAGACAGAACACCGAUUGCGAAGGCAGCUUACCAAGCUACGUCUGACGUUGAGGUACGAAAGCGUGGGGAGCAAACAGGAUUAGAUACCCGAGUAGUC
rnacentral:rRNA from 1 species